GGUUAAUUCGAAGCAACGCGAAGAACCUUACCAGGUCUUGACAUCCCGAUGCUAUUUCUAGAGAUAGAAAGUUACUUCGGUACAUCGGUGACAGGUGGUGCAUGGUUGUCGUCAGCUCGUGUCGUGAGAUGUUGGGUUAAGUCCCGCAACGAGCGCAACCCCUAUUGUUAGUUGCCAUCAUUCAGUUGGGCACUCUAGCGAGACUGCCGGUAAUAAACCGGAGGAAGGUGGGGAUGACGUCAAAUCAUCAUGCCCCUUAUGACCUGGGCUACACACGUGCUACAAUGGUUGGUACAACGAGUUGCGAGUCGGUGACGGCGAGCUAAUCUCUUAAAGCCAAUCUCAGUUCGGAUUGUAGGCUGCAACUCGCCUACAUGAAGUCGGAAUCGCUAGUAAUCGCGGAUCAGCACGCCGCGGUGAAUACGUUCCCGGGCCUU
rnacentral:rRNA from 1 species